rnacentral:lncRNA from 1 species
GCCAUGGAGGUUGUGGAAUGUCUGAUGGAUGCCUUUCGGAGAGGCAUCAGGUGGAGAUCUAAUAGGAGAAGGAGAGGAGGUCGUCAGAGGAGAUGACUGGAGGCAGUCCCGUUGAGCACUCCUUCAAGAACAAAGGUACUGCAAAGACACAGGCCCUUCCUCUAGCGUCAAUUCUAUUGGUGCAGAAUUCCACCGAAGCCAGAGUUGCUGGAGUCGAGAUGACUGCGGCUGCCGUCGAGACCUGCAA